rnacentral:lncRNA from 1 species
CAAAUUUUGAGAAAUUUUAAGUCUAUUUUCUAAAUUUUCUUUUAUGUAACCAUCUUUAGCCUUGUCUGUCUUCCAUCUACCGUGAGCAUUCAAAAGCCUGUCGGGAACAGAAUUACUAGCAGCUGCUGAAGCACCACCGCUCCUUAAACUAUGUAAGCCAAAUAAAGAACUAUUUAGGCCUAUUUCGGAAAGCGCAUUUAAAAUAAUUUCCCUAGUUCGAGUGUAAGAUAGAGGCCUAUUCUUGCAAGCUAGUUUAUGCUUAUCAAUAGAUUUGAAGUAUAAAGAGCUCUGAAGAUGUAUUCGUCACUUCCAACUGGCAAACUUGCAACGCGAAAAUAUUUCUGUAGCAUAGAAACUGGACAAAGGUCUGUACCAGUUCUAGAAAUCAAAAUAGUGUUACCCUGUCGAUAUCUAUCAGUCUUACUUUUUUUAAUGUUUAUUUGUAGAUGAGAAUCGUUGAACGUUAAAUCAGAAGAUCGGAUGUGUGCCAACUCAUCGUAUCUUAAAAACCCGGAAAACCCUAUCAACAUCAUAGCACAGAUUCUCAACCCUGGCAAAUUGUCAUUUUUGUCGAAUUUUGCAAUAAUACUCUUCAAAAUCGUAGGGGUGAUGGGUUCUUUCCUUUUCAAAGGUUUAGAUAACAAUCUUAUACCACCUUCUAAUACCAUGUCUAGUAAUUUGUCAUUUAAUAUACUGUCAUAUAAAUUCAGAUCAUGUUCCCACUUAAUUGAAUAGUACGCUGCGUUUAAAACGGCAGUGGAAACUCCAGAUUGAAUCAAAUAGUUAAGAUAAAUAGCAACUGUACAAACAGUGGUAGGCAAAAACGGUAGAUUGUACUUUAAGCACCAGUAUUUGAAUCUUUUGAAAUAUCCUUUAUAUUUCUUCAAAG